AAGGUAAACGAUGUCUUGGAGAACAAAAGGCAAUUAUGGAAAAGGAGCAGGAGCACGGAAAGAUUAG
ensembl:ncRNA F19B6.8 ncRNA